rnacentral:rRNA from 1 species
CGCGGUAUUGGAUAUCCGCGUCCAAGCAGUUAGGCUGGGAAAUAGGCAAAUCCGUUUCCCAUAAGGCUGAGCUGUGAUGGCGAGCGAAAUAUAGUAGCGAAGUUCCUGAUUCCACACUGCCAAGAAAGCCUCUAGCGAGGUGAGAGGUGCCCGUACCGCAAACCGACACAGGUAGGCGAGGAGAGAAUCCUAAGGUGAUCGAGAGAACUCUCGUUAAGGAACUCGGCAAAUGACCCCGUAACUUCGGGAGA